UACGUAGGGGGCAAGCGUUGUCCGGAUUUAUUGGGCGUAAAGAGCGUGUAGGCGGUCAGGUAGGUCCGUUGUGAAAACUCGAGGCUCAACCUCGGGUCUGCAGUCGAUACGAGCAAACUAGAGUGUUGCAGGGGAGACUGGAAUUCCUGGUGUAGCGGUGGAAUGCGCAGAUAUCAGGAGGAACACCGGUGGCGAAGGCGGAUCUCUGGGCCGUAACUGACGCUGAGGAGCGAAAGCAUGGGGAGCGAACAGG
rnacentral:rRNA from 1 species